UGGCUUUGGUGGUGUGGAUUGUUGUGGAAUUUGAAUUGGAUAAAAAGUUUCAAUGUUUUGAUUUUGAGGUGAAUUGAGUUGGCAAUGGUGAGUUUGUAUUAGAAAAAUUUGGAAAAUAAGAACAUGGCUUAGAAGAUGAAACAUCAUGUUUAAAGCCAUGAAGGAACAAAGAUUACAAUGACAAUUACUAUGAUGUUUUAAAACAAGAAUAUGCUUGUGUUUUUCUUCUUCUU
rnacentral:lncRNA from 1 species